AAGUCGUAACAAGGUUUCCGUAGGUGAACCUGCGGAAGGAUCAUUAUCGAAUAAACUUGAACAGGCUGUUGCUCAUGUGUGCACGCUUGUCAUCUUUAUAUCUCCAACUGUGCACAUAUUGUAGACCCUGGUGUAUUGCUGUGCUUUUAGGAGUCAGCUUUCUGGGUCUAUGUUAUUUUAUUCACAAUAUCUGGAUGUGUUGAAUUUUGGAUCAUAAUAAAUAUACAACUUUCAGCAACGGAUCUCUUGGCUCUCGCAUCGAUGAAGAACGCAGCGAAAUGCGAUAAGUAAUGUGAAUUGCAGAAUUCAGUGAAUCAUCGAAUCUUUGAACGCAUCUUGCGCUUCUUGGUAUUCCAAGGAGCAUGCCUGUUUGAGUGUCAUUUGAGUUCUCAAACCACACCCUUUGUGGUCUGUGGCUUUUGGAUAUGGGGGUUCUCUUUGCAGGCUUUGUGAAAACAAGGUCGGCUCCNCUGAAAUGUAUUAGUGGUAUCUGUGUGGACUACAGGUGUGAUAAAUCAAUCUAUGCNUCGUUCCUCACUAUGGCACNGCUUCUAAAGAGUUGGAAACAACGAUUGACAAAUUUGACCUCAAAUCAGGUAGGACUACCCGCUGAACUUAAGCAUAUCAAUAAGCGGAGGAAAAGAAACUAACAAGGAUUCCCCUAGUAACUGCGAGUGAAGCGGGAAAAGCUCAAAUUUGAAAUCUGGCGGUUCUUGACCGUCCGAGUUGUAAUCUAGAGAAGUGUUACCUGUGCUGGACCGUGUUCAAGUCUCCUGGAAUGGAGCAUCAUAGAGGGUGAGAAUCCCGUCUUUGACAUGGACUGCCCGUACGCUGUGGUACGCUCUCAAAGAGUCGAGUUGUUUGGGAAUGCAGCUCAAAAUGGGUGGUAAAUGCCAUCUAAAGCUAAAUAUUGGCGAGAGACCGAUAGCGAACAAGUACCGUGAGGGAAAGAUGAAAAGAACUUUGGAAAGAGAGUUAAACAGUACGUGAAAUUGCUGAAAGGGAAACGCUUGAAGUCAGUCAUGUCGGCCAGAAAUCAGCCUUGCUUUUGCUCGGUGUACUUUCUGGUUCGAUGGGUCAGCAUCAAUUUUGGCCACUGGAUAAAGUCUUUGGGAAUGUGGCAUCUCUUGGAUGUGUUAUAGCCCAUUGUCGCAUACGGUGGCUGGGAUUGAGGAAUUCAGCACGCCUCGCAAGGGGACGGGUUUAUACCACGUUCGUGCUUAGGAUGCUGGCGUAAUGGCUUUAAUCGACC
rnacentral:rRNA from 1 species